AGGCGAGACCGUGAGGUUAAGCAAAGCACAAAAAAAGGACAUCUCAGUUCGGAUUGUAGUCUGCAACUCGACUACAUGAAGCUGGAAUCGCUAGUAAUCGCGAAUCAGAAUGUCGCGGUGAAUACGUUCCCGGGUCUUGUACACACCGCCCGUCACACCAUGAGAGUCUGUAACACCCAAAGCCGGUGGGAUAACCUUUUAUAGGAGUCCAGCCGUCUAAGGUAGGACAGAUGAUUAGGGUGAAGUCGUAACAAGGUACC
rnacentral:rRNA from 1 species